ACCGGUAGUGGCUCGAGAGAAGAGAGUGCAGGGACACCUACCUCCCAUGGUUCAUGCCAAGGUAGUCCUUUCCCUGCAAAUGAAUCUUCCCAUCAGAAUGAGUUGGUUAAUUCACCUACGCAGGAGUCGUCUGUAAAAAUUGGUGGCUCUUCAGAACCAGCUCGUCCGACCACAGGAGAAAUCAAUUUAUCCACUGCAUUCCUAAUGCCUGGGCCUUCUCAGAAUGACUUGGUUAAUUCACCUACACAGGAGUCGCCUGUAAAAGUGGAUGGCUCUUCAGAACCAGCUCGUCAGGCCACGGGAGAAAUCAAUUUAUCCACUGCAUUCCUAUUGCCUGGGCCUUAUAUUCCAGAACACACCCAGCAACUAUUUGGGGGAAUGCUAGUUGAGGAUGCAGGGAGUUCACAUGAUCUGAGAAAUCUUUGUCCGGCUGGAGAUGCUAUGUUUGAUGACCGUGUCCCUGAAUACAGUUGGACGAACCCACCGUGUUCAAAUGGAAUUGCUAAGGAUCAGGUUUCUCUUCCUGCUGAGAAUAUGCCUGAAUACAGUUGGAUGAACCCACCAUGUUCAAAUGGAAUCGCUAAGGAUCAGGUUUCUCUUCCUGCAGAGAGUAUGCCACAGUUUUCUACCAGGCCUGAAGUAACAUCUGUUACAAUAAAAGCGACGUAUAGGGAAGACAUCAUAAGAUUUCGACUUCUUUUGAGUUAUGGUCUAUUUAAGUUGAAGGAGGAAGUAUCCAAGAGGCUAAAGUUAGAGGUUGGGACUUUCGAUAUCAGGUACCUCGAUGAUGACCAUGAGUGGGUUUUAAUCACGUGUGAUGCAGACCUGCAGGAAUGUGUCGAUAUCUCAAGAUCAUCGGGCAGCAACGUAGUGAGGUUGUUGGUUCAUGAUAUAAUGCCCAACCUUGGGAGCUCCUGCGAGAGCUCAGGUGCAUGAUUUAGAAUUAGGUUGUAAAUAUAUAAAACUAGUAAAAAUCAUUCUUGUAGUGCUUAGGGUUUUGUCCAUGUGGAGUGUAGGUUUUGGGUUUUGGCAGCUUAUCUGAAAUUGUAGAAAGUUUUCCCUUUUAAAUGUAUUCUUGUUGUAAGCCUAGGAAAAUAAGUUUUUGCUUUUGUUGGUGUAGCUUCCACCUUAUUUUUAGUUUUAUUUUUCAAUUGUAUUCUUGUUGUAAGCCUAAGGCUAUAAGUUUUUGUUUAUGUUGUUGCAUCUUCCACCUCUUGUUUGUUCACUAUGCAAAUUCUAUGUUUCCAUUUGAUAUGUUUUUAUAUG
rnacentral:lncRNA from 1 species